rnacentral:rRNA from 1 species
UACGUAGGGUGCAAGCGUUGUCCGGAAUUAUUGGGCGUAAAGAGCUCGUAGGCGGUCUGUCGCGUCUGCUGUGAAAACUCGGGGCUUAACCCCGGCCUGCAGUGGGUACGGGCAGACUGGAGUACUGCAGGGGAGACUGGAAUUCCUGGUGUAGCGGUGGAAUGCGCAGAUAUCAGGAGGAACACCGGUGGCGAAGGCGGGUCUCUGGGCAGUAACUGACGCUGAGGAGCGAAAGCGUGGGGAGCGAACAGG